GACGAACGCUGGCGGCGUGCCUAACACAUGCAAGUCGAACGGGGUGAUCCUUCGGGGUCACUUAGUGGCGAACGGGUGAGUAACGCGUGAGAAACCUGCCUCUCAGUGGGGGACAACAGUUGGAAACGACUGCUAAUACCGCAUAAUGUAUCCGGAGGGCAUCCUUUGGAUACCAAAGCUUUAUGUGCUGAGAGAUGGUCUCGCGUCUGAUUAGCUAGUUGGCGGGGUAACGGCCCACCAAGGCGACGAUCAGUAGCCGGUCUGAGAGGAUGAACGGCCACAUUGGGACUGAGAUACGGCCCAGACUCCUACGGGAGGCAGCAGUGGGGAAUAUUGGUCAAUGGUCUGACGACUGAACCAGCCAUGCCGCGUGAAGGUCACGGCCCUAUGGGUCUUAAACUUCUUUUGUAAGGGAGCAAUAAGUCUCACGUGUGGGAUGAUGAGAGUACCUUACGAAUAAGCAUCGGCUAACUCCGUGCCAGCAGCC
rnacentral:rRNA from 1 species